rnacentral:rRNA from 1 species
GAUGAACGCUGGCGGCGUGCCUAAUACAUGCAAGUCGAGCGAACAGACGAGGAGCUUGCUCCCCUGACGUUAGCGGCGGAGGGGUGAGUAACACGUGGAUACCCUACCUAUAAGACUGAGAUCACUUGGGGAAACCGGAUAUAAUCCCGGAUAAUAUAUUGAACCGCAUGGUUCAAUAGUGAAAGACGGCUUUGGUGUAUCUUCUCGAUGCUUCCCAGCGGGUUUAGCUGGUUGGUAAGGUCCCGGCCUACCAAGGCUAGGAUGCGUGUCCGACGUGAGAGGGUGAUCGGCCACACUGGAACGGAGACACGGUCCAUACUCCUACGGGAGGCAGCAGUAGGGAAUCGUCCGCAAUGGGCGAAAGCCUGACGGAGCAACGCCGCGUGUGUGAUGAAGGUCUUCGGAUCGUAAAACUGUGUUAUUAGGGAAGAACAAAUGUGGAAUUAACUAUGGACGUCUUGACGGUACCUAAUCAGAAAGCCACGGCUAACUACGUG